GCCAGCAUGGCAUAGUGGUUUGAGUGUUGGACUAUGACUUUAGAGACUAGGGUUCAAUUCCCAGUUCAGCCA